rnacentral:siRNA from 1 species
GAAAGAUGUUUGAGGAGCUAUCCU